CCCAAUGUGAACCAUACCAAACUGUUGCCUCGGCGGGGUCACGCCCCGGGUGCGUCGCAGCCCCGGAACCAGGCGCCCGCCGGAGGGACCAACCAAACUCUUUUCUGUAGUCCCCUCGCGGACGUUAUUUCUUACAGCUCUGAGCAAAAAUUCAAAAUGAAUCAAAACUUUCAACAACGGAUCUCUUGGUUCUGGCAUCGAUGAAGAACGCAGCGAAAUGCGAUAAGUAAUGUGAAUUGCAGAAUUCAGUGAAUCAUCGAAUCUUUGAACGCACAUUGCGCCCGCCAGUAUUCUGGCGGGCAUGCCUGUCCGAGCGUCAUUUCAACCCUCGAACCCCUCCGGGGGGUCGGCGUUGGGGACCUCGGGAGCCCCUAAGACGGGAUCCCGGCCCCGAAAUACAGUGGCGGUCUCGCCGCAGCCUCUCCUGCGCAGUAGUUUGCACAACUCGCACCGGGAGCGCGGCGCGUCCACGUCCGUAAAACACCCAACUUCUGAAAUGUUGACCUCGGAUCAGGUAGGAAUACCCGCUGAACUUAAGCAUAUCAAUAA
rnacentral:rRNA from 1 species